AAUCCACUGGCUCAGCAGGUGACUGGCCGGUUUCCUAGGAAACAGGCAUCCUAAUCAGCUCUGUUUCGUAAACUCGGAGUGGUCACAUCUUAUCACUUGCAACACUUGAACAAAGCUGCAUAUAUAUGUGCGUGUCCGUUUGGAAUUGCAAGACAGAGAAAAUGGAUUGUUUUAGCCCUUGAAAUCGUCUGGUGGGGAGAAAACCCUUUGUGUUACAAGACAAUUGAUGUUUGGAAUGUAAUGGACAGGACAGUGAGUGAUUUAUCUCAAUUAUCAGUGUGAGAGAUAUGGAUUUUACAGACAAAGAAACAAUAACAUGAACAGGAAAAAAGGAGUGAAUGGUUCAGAAGUAAUAUGGGCAGGAGAACAUUCCAAAGUUUCACAAAUUUGAACACUGGGACUCUAGAGGAAUAUUAUAUAGUGACUGAAGUAAUAUCAGAUAGACUUAAAAAAACAUUGAACUACAUUUAUUUCCCUCUGUUGAUUUCAUUCCAUAGGUGUGACAAAAAAUAGAGCAUUUGUUUGAGGAACAAGAUAAUUUACCAUGCAGGAUUUAUUCAAUCAAUUGUAUUUUACUCGUAAUUAUGGAAAUAAAAAGGUUACAGGAA